rnacentral:rRNA from 1 species
AUCUAUAGCCAUACCACCCUGAACGUGCCUAAUCUCACCUGAUCUUGGAAGCCAGGCAGUGUCAGGCCUAAUUAGUACUUGGAUGGGAGACCAUCUGAGACUACUGGGUGCUGUAGGCU